rnacentral:snRNA from 1 species
GAGCGUGAGGGCGACCUGGCUGCGACAUUUGUCACCCCUGAUCACCGGGUUGAUUCGGCUGCUGGUGCUGAGCUCCUGGCUGGCUAGGUGGGCGUCCCCUUCCUCCUGCACCACUUCACGUGCGUCCCUCCUGAAGCUGCGCGCUCCGCUGAACAGGACAACCUUCCCCCAAUAGAGGGGGACCGGUCUUCGGUCGCGGGUUUACAAGUAGGGGCGCCGCUGCUAGAACCUCCAAACAAGCUCUUUAGAAUCUAAGAUGGACUCCCAGAACAUGCAGCCAAGAGCAAGGCCUU